rnacentral:rRNA from 1 species
GGAGGGGGUUUAGCGUUGUUCGGAAUUACUGGGCGUAAAGCGCACGUAGGCGGACUGGAAAGUUGGGGGGUGAAAUCCCAGGGGCUCAACCCUGGGAACUGCCUCCAAAACUAUCAGUCUAGAGUUCGAGAGAGGUGAGUGGAAUUCCGAGUGUAGAGGUGAAAUUCGUAGAUAUUCGGAUGAACACCAGUGGCGAAGGCGGCUCACUGGCUCGAUACUGACGCUGAGGUGCGAAAGUGUGGGGAGCAAACAGGAUUAGAUACCCUGGUAGUCCACACCGUAAACGAUGAAUGCCAGUCGUCGGGUAGCAUGCUAUUCGGUGACACACCUAACGGAUUAAGCAUUCCGCCUGGGGAGUACGGUCGCAAGAUUA